CACCGCCCGUCACAUCACGAAAGUGGGUUGUACUAGAAGUCUGCACGCCAACCCGCAAGGGGGCAGCGGCCCAAGGUAUGACUCAUGAUUGGGGUG
rnacentral:rRNA from 1 species